UACAGAGGUCUCAAGCGUUGUUCGGAUUCAUUGGGCGUAAAGGGUGCGUAGGCGGCGCGGUAAGUCGGGUGUGAAAUCUCGGGGCUUAACUCCGAAACUGCAUUCGAUACUGCCGUGCUUGAGGACUGGAGAGGAGACUGGAAUUUACGGUGUAGCGGUGAAAUGCGUAGAUAUCGUAAGGAAGACCAGUGGCGAAGGCGGGUCUCUGGACAGUUCCUGACGCUGAGGCACGAAGGUCAGGGGAGCAAACAGG
rnacentral:rRNA from 1 species